UCACGAUCAUAUAUAUAGCGUUACAGAAUGCGCUGCAGCCCCAGGGAUGUUCGCGAGGGAGGUUUAAAAGUUAUAAAAAGAGCAGAAAGUAAAAUUGAAAGUGGCGAAUUUUAUGAAGCCCAUCAACUAUAUAAGACAAUUUAUUUUAGGUAUAUGAACCAAAAACGUUGGGGGGACGCACUCUUUGUUGUCUUUCAUGGUGCAAAAAAAUUGUUUUUAUAUAAUCAAAACAACUCUGCAGCGGACUUAUCUCUUCUUGUCUUGGAAACUUAUAUUGAGUGCAAAGCUCAAGUAAAUGAAGAGAACAGGGAUAGGAUAAUACAUUUGUUUUCUCUUUUCCCAUCCAACCAUUCACUAAAAAAUCGCUUUAUUUUCUCUUGCCUAAGAUGGAGCCAAAGAGAGGGAGUAUAUUGCGAAGGAGAUCCCGUUCUUCUAUUGAACUUCGGUUUAGAUUGUUUAAAGGAAAGUAAAUACCUCGAAGCUCAAGAAUAUUUUCUCAAAUGUUAUGAGGACCAAUCCGUAAGGUUAUGGGCUGAAACUUUAAACAACUGUGCCUCUGAUUCUUAUAAUAAAGUGUUAUUUAUAAAACUUACUUAAUUUAUUAUUGCAAUCUCUAAAUUCUAAUUAAACUAUUUGAAGGAGACUAUCGAAUGUUUACUUACGAUUGCUAUUCUGAAAUUAUUAAGCAUUGGAGAUCUGCGCCGAGCUAAUCUUCUUUACUCGAGGACACUCUCCCCGCAUAACGACGUUUACGAACGCUCCCUUCUUAUAAAAUUCUGUGGUUUUCUUUUAAAAACUUGUGAAUAUAACGCACCGAUCAUGUUCAAAUCUUUGUGCGACGAGUUUGCACCGAGCUUGGACCUGUUGGAGGGUAGUCACGAGCAACUUCAACUCGUAGGAGUUCAAAUGUUCAAUUUACCAUCAAAUAAAGAUAGUUUUGCUGAUGUAGUGAGUCGGUUUCUUAUGUAGCUCUAUCUAUGAAGAACUUCACAAACCACACUUAUGGUCUCCUAGACCUCAAUAAAU